UACGUAGGGAGCAAGCGUUUGUCCGGAAUCAUUGGGCGUAAAGCGCGCGUAGGCGGCCCUGUAAGUCCGUUGUGAAAGUCAAAGGCUCAACCUUUGAAAGCCGAUGGAUACUGCAGGGCUAGAGUCCGGAAGAGGCGAGUGGAAUUCCUGGUGUAGCGGUGGAAUGCGCAGAUAUCAGGAGGAACACCAAUAGCGAAGGCAGCUCGCUGGGACGGUACUGACGCUAAGGCGCGAAAGCGUGGGGAGCGAACAGG
rnacentral:rRNA from 1 species